GGGCGUGGCCGGGUUCAUGUCAGCAACAUUUGUGGCACUCAAUCUCCGAGCUCACAUAAAGUCAGCUGGUGAGAGGUGGUUUUUGAUUGUGGCCAGUAUCUUCUUGCUGCAAUUAGCUCUUGCUGUCAUUCUCAAACUAUAUCUGUUCACUGUUACCGUAUGAAACUAAACUCCCCCCACUCUUUGUUAAACAGAUUGUAGAUUACAAACAGUAAC
rnacentral:misc_RNA from 1 species